UACGGGGGGGGUAAGCGUUGUUCGGAAUUACUGGGCGUAAAGGGCUCGUAGGCGGCCAACUAAGUCAUACGUGAAAUCCCUCAGCUUAACUGGGGAACUGCGUGUGGUACUGGAUGGCUUGGAUUUGGGAGAGGGAUGCGGAAUUCCAGGUGUAGCGGUGAAAUGCGUAGAUAUCUGGAGGAACACCGGUGGCGAAGGCGGCAUCCUGGACCAAUAUUGACGCUGAGGAGCGAAAGCCAGGGGAGCAAACGGG
rnacentral:rRNA from 1 species